CGUAGGUGGCAAGCGUUGUCCGGAAUUAUUGGGCGUAAAGCGCGCGCAGGUGGUUUAAUAAGUCUGAUGUGAAGCCCACGGCUCAACCGUGGAGGUCAUUGGAACUGUAACUUGAGUGCAGGAGAGAAGUGGAAUUCCUAGUGUAGCGGUGAAAUGCGUAGAGAUUAGGAGGAACACCAGUGGCGAAGGCGGCUUUUUGGCCUGUAACUGACACUGAGGCGCGAAAGCGUGGGGAGCAAACAGGAUU
rnacentral:rRNA from 1 species